rnacentral:rRNA from 1 species
UACGUAGGUGGCAAGCGUUGUCCGGAUUUACUGGGCGUAAAGAGCGCGCAGGCGGUCGUUCAAGUCGCGUGUGAAAGCCCCCGGCUCAACUGGGGAGGGUCACGCGAUACUGAUCGACUCGAAGGCAGGAGAGGGUAGUGCAAUUCCCGGUGUAGUGGUGAAAUGCGUAGAUAUCGGGAGGAACACCAGUGGCGAAGGCGACUACCUGGCCUGUUCUUGACGCUGAGGCGCGAAAGCUAGGGGAGCAAACGGG